rnacentral:rRNA from 1 species
UACGAAGGGGGCUAGCGUUGCUCGGAAUCACCGGGCGUAAAGGGUGCGUAGGCGGGUCUUUAAGUCAGGGGUGAAAUCCUGGAGCUCAACUCCAGAACUGCCUUUGAUACUGAAGAUCUUGAGUUCGGGAGAGGUGAGUGGAACUGCGAGUGUAGAGGUGAAAUUCGUAGAUAUUCGCAAGAACACCAGUGGCGAAGGCGGCUCACUGGCCCGAUACUGACACUGAGGCACGAAAGCGUGGGGAGCAAACAGG